CGGUGAACGCCUCUUUCUUGUUGCUGAGUCUAGUCUGCGAGAGCUCCUGUCAGUCUGUUGACUGCAACUGGAGAUACUGAGUGACAAGACAAAAUAUUCCCCGACACUGCAAAGGUUUAUCCGUACACCACACACCUAUAGUAUCCUCGAAAACCUCUGAUGGGAGGCAAGGGGGAUGACCAAGGGCUCACUUACACGAAGUGUGCCUAUGUCAGCAAAAUUUUCGUCUUGCCACUACAUGUCUCCAGUUCCAGCCAUCAGUAUGCACCAGCUCUUGUCAAGACACCCUUGUUUCGAUGGUCCUAACGCUGAUAGCCUUGAUAAGACAUCGACGGGAACUCCCUCCUGAUUGCUCGGACAACGCAUCCAGGGAUCUGUCGCCUGUUCCUUGGAACAAGCAUCAUAUCUUGUGGGCAUUUGGAUACCUGCCAAAUCUCCCGCAGUGUUGGGAAGAUAAUGGCCAGAACAGAAGAACAGACACUAUCCCAACCUUGGAGUUCAAAGCCUGUGCAUUCCUUCCUUAGUUCCAUGGUCUCCCGCAGUUUGAAUGUGGAAGGUUGGCAGGUGUGCAACAUAGUACAACAGAAAAAUGGUCUACCUCUUUCAAGGACAUGAGCAUUUGACCUGCAGAGACAAGGCAGUUACUGAACAAAGGGUACUCUUCACAAGUUAAGCUACUUCGCAAAACAUUUAACGAAGCUACAGCUGUGGUGUCAAACCGUGUGCGGUACAGCGCAAUGGAGAUCGUUGACAUGCACUAUGGAAUGUCUGUGCAAGUGGCUCUACGCAAGGCCAGAAGAUUGAAUGUAGGUGACCAAAGCGCUCAGCUCCUGGCACCACUGAUCGGCCCCAUGACUGAGUUGGUUACACUCAUGCUGCACAGAGGGAGGAACAGGGACAUGCAAACAUAAUGUAAGUUCAGCUACAUGUCGUGUAGUCGAGUGUCGUGCUAAGAUCAUCUAACGGCACAACAUGCUUGAGCUCGUUUAGUCUUGUGAGGACACACAUCAGUGGCAAUGUAAAUAACUUUGCUUUCAGGCAACUUACUAAAGAUGAACGGUCACUUAAGUUGAAUUUAAUACUUAAUUCAGCUUCACUAAACUACGUCACAAGCUAAAGUCUGUAAAAAAGAAUUUAGCGCUAAUUUCAAGUUCUGUCAAGCCUUGAUCUCGGAUCAAAGUUAACCUGCGUUGGUGAAACCGGGCCGAAGUUUGCAUGUCUAAGCCUUUUUAAUGCGUACUAGGAACUACUGCCCUUCUGUGGUGGAUACUAACCUUGCGAGUGAUCUUGAAAACAAUUAAACUUGCAGUAUGAGGCUGUCCAGAAUAAAAUGCUUUCAACUGAAUUCUUGAAGUGGGCAUUGCAAAUACAUAGCUAUUUAUGUGUCUCUGGUAUUAAUACUUGAAACUCACUCUUAUAGAGACAGUACCAAACUAAGCAACGGGGACCUGCCAAGAAUGUGUCACGAAGGUCAGAAGGCAGAUACAUGGUUUGGAUGAGGCGCUCUUUAUGUUUAUGUAUGUGUUAAAACUUAAAAGUAUCUGUCCACAAUUCUAUUGUGUAUGCGCAUUGCCUGAGAUGUUGAAGUGUCACGGCUGGGAUUAUCGGCAGCUCCAAAAUCGUCCUCGUCAGAUUCCUCAUGGUCACUGUCAUUUUCUACAGUCAUCACGUCAGGCUCCUCUGUUGGCAUAGGCAAAUUGUAAGAGUGACAUAUGUUGUGCAGAAUGGCACAUGCAGUAAUGAUGUUACAGGCCCUGUCUGGUGCAAAGUGUAAAGUGCGGUAACGCUGCAAGCACCUGAAGCGCAUCUUCAACACUCCAAAACACUGCUCGAUCCGAACUCUGGUGCUGCUGUGAGCCUUGUUGAAUGCUUCCUCUUUGUCUGUUCUAGGAGACCGAAAAGGAGUCAUGAGACAGGGCUCAAGUGGGUAACCGAGGUCCCCUGUAAAUCAUAUACAAAGUAACAUGUUAACUUCCUUCUGUGAUACUCAUCCUUUAACCAAAUUUUUGAAACCAAACUAUUUUCAUUGUACACAUCUUUUCAACAAGUUUCGUGUUUUUUAAAGACAGUUUCUUCCUUAAAGGGGUUGCGACAGGUCAUUCCAGGAUAUUUGACAUAAUCGAAAAAGACAGUUCUUUGCACCCAUGUCAACCUGCAUUGAAAGUUUCACUUAGUAUUCUAACAUGCAGUGCAAUGCAUUCAUGAUGUAAUGAACUACAUGUGUGAAAGUGUCCCAGCCCCUUUAAGCUGAUCCUGUAACAAACAUUCGUCUCUUUAAAAACAGAUUUUGUACUAAACGGUCCAAUCACGACCUACUAGAUACUCACGACCUGCGCAUUUGCUUCUCGCCCAAUGGGACUUCCGUCCGCGCCGGAAGUCGGAGCGUUGACGCCUCGCGCCGCGAGGGGCCGCUAGUAACGUGCCAUACCGAGCGCGCUUGUGGUGUGUUCGUAUGGGGCGCAGGACGGCUAAUUUGCAAUUUUGCGGUAAUACACUGCUUUUUUCUGCAAUAUGUGAACAUGCUAGGAUACCUACAGCACUAUAUGAGGCUCUACCACAUGUCAAGGGGAGACUGUGUCGUUUGGAGGACGUGAUAUUGUGGUAAUGUUGUAGAGGUAUUAGCCUAUGCAGUACAAAUGCCUCCGAUGCGGGGAAAAAUCAGCAGGAGCACAAGCCUUGCGAUUUAGUCAUCCUUCCAAGCCCUGUAGGGACCUUAUUUUAUACGAUGGUCAUUCUUGAAUGAUUGUCAUGAGAACGGGAUUCGCUCAUAUAUGUUAGUAUAGCAUGCAUGUGAGCCACGAAGCGGGGGCAUAUUUCGUUUAUCCGAUGAAGUCUGUUUCGUGAUAUAAAGGAGUGUGAAUGUAAUGAAAACAGGAGUCGCAAAGCUAGUCAAAAAUUAAUGGUCUAUUUCAUUCGACAACUUUGUCCUUCCAUUCACAAGAUGUGGGUUCGAGGCCUACAGCUGGCUAACCUUUUCAGUGACUUCCUUCUUUCAUUGUUCUUAGGCACUUAAGGCUUGUCCUUUCUUUUGUGUUCCAGCCUCAGAACAUAAAUUUUCAUAUGACAACAUUGCUUGUUUAUACAUUAUUUACAGACAAAGCUCACAUUUAAACAAAAAGCUUUCACAUAUAACAUGGCUGCUAAUGCAUUUACAUAGACAUUGUUAUUUACACAAAACUAACAUGAAAACAACACCCAUAUUUACAGUAUUUACAUGUUACUUAGAGGCUAAUUUGCCUCAAAACCCGUGACCUUUUGUGCAUUGUUCAUAGGAAGGAGCUCAUUAUUCACAUUUCUUUAACAGUACCAGUUCACUUUCAACACUUUCCUUGACUGAGGUUUUUCUCUAACAAUUUUCUCCUUCGCCUGUUUCUUCGUGUUUUCUUUGCACGCAUUUGUGAGGCACGGCCUCAUGAACUUGGUUAAUACCAGCUUCACAAGUGUGUCUGUGUGAGAUGGGUUCACAGAGCACUGGAAGAGCUCAUUUUUUCUUGCUUCUGGAGGUGCAAUCCUGCAAAGAAAAUAUGGCGCUGUAAUAAAGCAUUGAUAGACCAUAGCACCGACAUACGUUAUAAAACACUUAAAGGGGUGAGGUUUUGCAGGAUGGUUGGAAGCAUUUCCUGUGCGACCGCUUCCAAGCUCAUGAUGAAUCCCACAAAUCUAGCGGUAGGGUAGCUGAGUCCUCCUCUGUCAUUAUUCAGAAUGAGUCCAGUAAUCGGGGAUGAAGAUCCUGCUGCCUCUAUUCCCGAUAGGCACCAGCGCAUUCCAUCUUCUCCUUCACAACUCUUGCCAGAUAGCCGGCUAGAAGGGCCAGCGUUGCAGUUCGCAACCCAUGCUGAGGUUCAGCUGUAACAUGAGUAGGAUGCAUGAAAUUUGAGUUUAUCCUAAGUGAACGCGACAUGCAUCAUGAUUGUCGUUCAACAUUAUAGCAGAGCAUGACGUUGGUAGACAGACCGAAACCGAAACAGAUCGGAAAGGGAGAGCUGGGUUCCACAAAUUGGCAAUUGUUCGCAGCCUACUAUUAAAAGAAAAAUCGGCCCGAAGGUCGCGUCCCUUUCAGAGACCAUCGUAACCCCCUCAGGACCGUGGCUUUCGGGCGCGACCUUGUUCGUCACUAGCUUUGAACGUAGUUCAACUCUACCAAAUUCGUGGCGCUGUCAAACACUAUGACGUCAUUUGUUUACAAACAGGUAGAGGUAUAUUGCUGUUAUCCACUUUUGACAGAGCACUGGGUCCGACGGGAACUCAUGUAGCGAUGUUCCCUUCACACUCUUGCUUUUACAGCGUGGAACCACGCAAUACACCAUUGCGGAUGGCCUAGCACUGCUGCAUGCUGCUGCGUUUCUGCUUAAAAACACUUUAGGACGGCGAAAACCGCGCCGCAAACGCAACUUCCCAUGUGAUUCGUACGGGAGCGACAGCACAAGUAUGGCACGCUAUUAGCGCCACGGAGCAGCAGCGGCGGGCGCGCGAACUGCGAAACAGCGGCGCUGGGGAGAGCGCGAAUGGCAUGAUCGUGGAAGUACCUAGUAGGUCGUGGGUCCAAUGUGCAUUACUGGUAUCUUUACUUUCUUCAAUGUUGCUCAAGUAUGUUGAAGCGUGUUUAUUCUGUUAUUAAAGCAUAUUUAAGUGUGUUCAUUCCACGUUUGCAAGUUAUCACCACAUUCAUUUACUGUUUGUAUUACAAUUUCGUUAU